rnacentral:rRNA from 1 species
UACGUAGGGGGCAAGCGUUGUCCGGAUUUAUUGGGCGUAAAGAGCGUGUAGGCGGCUUUACAGGUCCGUUGUGAAAACUCGAGGCUCAACCUCGAGACGCCGGUGGAAACCGUAAAGCUAGAGUCCGGGAAGAGGAGAGUGGAAUUCCUGGUGUAGCGGUGAAAUGCGCAGAUAUCAGGAAGAACACCCGUGGCGAAGGCGGCUCUCUGGGACGGUACUGACGCUGAGACGCGAAAAGCCGUGGGGGAGCGAACAGG